rnacentral:sRNA from 1 species
GAGAAGCUUCGACUAAGGUUCGAUUCGAGCGCAGCGAGAACGCGUUGCCGCAGGCAACGACCCGAAGGGCGAAGCGCGCAGCGCUGAGUCAUCCUUCCCCCACCACCA